CAAAGGUCCAGACAAUAGGUCUCCCGAGGAAACUAUGGUUGGUAUCUGCUGCUGACUACUCAAGUGUAAAUUGACAAUAACUGUGCUUGCUUUCAUGAGGCUCCUCUGGAUCAGCCUGAGAGUGGAUUAUUAUAGCUGUACACUUGUGUAAACGAGAGACUGUUGAACUUGAGAUGCUUAUCUCAAUGCUCCCAGCUAAGAGGUCCAGCUGUGUAACUUGAUGCGUGCUCAGCCAGCCAGCCAGCCAAAUAAAGGUCACCAGCGAACUAACACCGCUUCUCCUGUUCUAAUCAUAUAUUGAGCAGUCUUGGUUGCACGCAAACCAACCAAGCGUCAAGUUGCAUCUAAGUUACUAAUAAAUGUAAUGUAACAUACUACUUUAGUGCACCACAGUUAGGCUUGGGGAAGAAAUUAGUUUGGUUUACAAUUUAAUGUGAGCCUACAUCCAAAUCCAGGGUACACCUGCUUCAGCUCAACCAGACAUCUUCACUGCCCCUGCUACAACAAAGCAUGUCUCUCCCAUUUCGGUCUCUACAGCCACAGCAGGCGCUGUAACUCUCCAACGGUUCGACUUCAGCCCCGAAGUUGCGCUCUUCCACUGUUUCCAGAGACAGGUGGAUGCCAAUCAACUUUUAAACUGAAAAAAACUAUCCUUCCAAAAUCACAUUUCUGGGCCUAUCUGCAUGCAGUAAGUAAACAGUUGUAUGAUGUAAUGUUUUUCAAAAAGAAUUUUUAGCUGCUUGUAUGCACCUUUGGCCAUAUAUUGCUGAUAUUGGAGACGGGGUGUGUGUGUGACAGAGAGAGUGUGUGUGUGUGUGUGUGUGUGUAUUUCCUUCCCACACUAAUGGUGGAUUGUGCCUGAAUUGAGAAAAGUUGUGUGGCUGUUGUCACAUCCCUUAGGUACCUUUCUUGUUCCUCCAGCCAGGAAAGGUUUGUGUUAUGAAUAUGCACAUUUGAGUUAGCAUUUUCAGAGCUUUUUUCUAUUUCAUUUUUCAUUUAAUGCCUGCUGUUCAAGAAUUCUAAUCUUGUGGGAGUUUAGGAUAUCAGAAGGGAAAUUACGGUAUGCGCCUGCCUGACCUAUGGCAAACCUGGUUAUUUGUAAUGUAAUUUUGUCUGCAGUUAACAACAGCUAUCAUGAGCAGUACUUUGACCUAAUACCAUCAUCUCUGUCUGCUACAUCUCUCCUCUGGAAUGAGCUUGCAAAAUGACAGCCCACAUGAGUGAGAGGGAGGUUGCAAGUAAUAGACACUCCCAAAACACACCCACCAAUCCUCAACCCCUACACACAAAAAGCAGGACAAUGUUUGUAUACAUGUCACACAAAUGAAAAAUAGUGAGGAUCCAUUCCAACAAAGGUCAGUAGAAAAUAAAGCAGGGGUGCUUUUUUUAGUACAUUAUUCUGGAACAGAAGCUGACUAAUGAUUACAUAGUCUGGUAGCAUGUCACUAUUAUUAUUUUUAAAAAGACCCCAACAACUAUACCAUUACAAAUUUCAAUUUUGUGAUACUACAAAAAUGUGUAACAAAAAUGGUUGCAUUAGGGGAAGUGUGCAUUAAAACUUCACGUAUUACUGAAAAUACCCAAAAAUGUUUUUAUUAGGAUGAAUUAGCAUUAAGAUGAAAACAAAUUUUGGAGAGGACUCCUUGUUAAAAACUUGCAAACUGAUGAGGAAAUGUGAACAACUGAAAUUGGGGGGAAAUCAAGGAAUGGAGAGAACUCAAAAUCAAAAUUUCCAAGCUACAGCAUGAAGCAGUCUUCAAAAAUUGCUAGUGACAAAACUUCUUUAAAAGUAUUGUCACUGUGCUCAUGAGGUCUGGAAUCAUUUUUUUAAAAAAAUAUUGAAAGUGCCAUGAACACCACCUGGAACAUGUAUGUAUUGUAAAUGGCUCAGAAACUUUGGUUGGUCCAGACUUUAAACUGGGAGGACUGAGCACACAACAUUACAUCUGUACUUUGCCAGCUGCCGGACUCCCAGUCUGAUCCUAGGCCAAAUUUAAAGAGAUGGCUUGGAACCAGGGUACCUAAAAUAACACCUUCUCACUGGCAGGGCCUAUCCCAAGUCACAAUGCGGCUUUAGAGCUCAGAGGUCAACCGUCAAGAUUUCUUAGAUGAAAAUAGGUGCAUCCCAUUCCAUAAUGAUAAUUUUACUAUUUAUAACCCGUACAUCUUACUGGCUUACUGGCUUGCCCCAGCCACUCUGGGCAGCUUCCAACAUACAUAAAACACAAUAAAACAUUUUUUAAAAAAUUAAAAAACCCAACCCUUCCCUAUACAGGAUUGCCCUCAGACAGCUUGGGGGUCAAAUAACUCCAUACCCUCCAACAUUUCUCCAAUGAAAAUAGGGACAUCCUAAGGGACGCAGGUGGCGCUGUGGGUUAAACCACAGAGCCUAGGACUUGCCGAUCAGAAGGUCAGCGGUUCGAAUCCCCACGAUGGGGGGAGCUCCUGUUGCUCGGUCCCAGCUCCUGCCAAUCUAGCAGUUCGAAAGCACAUCAAAGUGCAAGUAGAUAAAUAGGUACCACUCCGGCGGGAAGGUAAACUGCAUUUCUGUGCGCUGCUCUGGUUUGCCAGAAGCGGCUUGGUCAUGCUGGCCACAUGACCCGGAAGCUGCACGCCGGCUCCCUCGGCCAAUAAAGUGAGAUGAGCACCGCAACCCCAGAGUCGGUCACGACUGGACCUAAUGGUCAGGGGUCCCUUUACCUUAAGGGAAAGUGGGACAUUAUGGGAUCAAAUCAGAAACCAGGAUGGCUUCUCUAAAUCAGGAAUGUCCCUGGAAAAUAGGGACAGUUUGGAGGGUCUGUCAACAUGAUUUACUCAUAGCUGCAGGAGAAAAGGUAAGAUGCCCCUUGUUCAUCACCUUCACAGACCUGAUAAAGGCCUUUGACCCUGUCAGCUGAAAAGGACUCUUCACACCGCUCAGCAGUUUAGGAUGCCCACCUAAGCUCCACAAGAUUAUUGUGUCCUUCCAUGGAAACAUGCAUGGCACCAUCCAGUAUGAUGGUUCAUCCUCAGGUGCCUUCCCUAUAAAGAGCAAUGUGAAACAGGGCUAUGUUCUCAUCCCAAUUCUCUUUAGCAUAUUCUUGCCCCUAUUGGUCUCCUGUGCCUUCACCUCAACUGAAGACGGUGUGGAUUUCCAUUCAAGGGGCAACUGGGAUCUUGAACAGAACAGAACAACUUGGGAUGUCUCCAUGCUAAGAUAAAAGUAUGUCAGGUUCUUAUCACAUGGCAGGACAGAGUCUCAAACAAAUAUGUGCUCUUCCAAGUCCACAUUCCCAACAUGCUCCCACUUCUGUCUCAGCAAGGUCUAUGCUGGCUUGAUCAUGUACACAGAAUGGAAGAUGGCAGAAUCCCAAGGAUGUGCUUUGUGGAGAGCUGACAUCAGACACCAGGCCCAUUGGCAGACCAACUCUACAUUAUAAAGUUGUCUGCAACAUGACAUGAAGCCUGGUAACAUUAAACAUCCCCCCUCUCCACUGUGUAGGAGUCACUUGCAGAAGACUGCUGUGCCAGGAGACAGACAGUCAGGCCUUGUAUCCACAGAAGUGAUCAGAGGAGAAAUGACCGCUAGGUGGAGCACAGAGAGAAGAAAAGCCAUGGUGCAUCUGUAACAGCAAAACUGGAUGCUUUCAUCUGUCCCAGCUGCAAUAAAAUGUGUCUCUCCCAUACUGGUCUCUACAGCCACAGCAGGUGCUGUAAUUCUCCAACCACCUCAGAUGGCACACUCUUCCAUUGCCUCUUGAGACAAACAGAUGCAAACACCUUGCCCAAACCUAUGGAUGCUCUUCAGAAGUGCUGUUGCAUGUGGCCCCUGCCAAAUGAAGUAAGGUAGGUAACAUGUAGGGCAUGUAGGGUGUGGAACCUUUUCCAACCCAAGAGACAGCUGCCCUUGUGGGCAGCCAUCUGGGAGCCAGAUACCAAUGAUGGACAUAGCCAGAAGCAGAAAUACACAGUAUAAUGGAUGUGACUCUUUCCUUUGCACCGUAGGCUAAAUUCCAGCCAUGAAAAGCCAUAUCUUUCUACAUACUCGCACCCACACAGAAUCACAGAGUUGUAGAAUUGCAGAGUUGGAAAGGAUCCCAAGGGUCAUCUGGUCCAUCAUUUAUUUUGUUAUCACCACGUUGGGCAUUGCUUUCCUUUUUUGGUGAAGACAGAGGCAACGUAGGUGUUGAGUAGUUCCACCCAGUAGCAUUUCUCCAUCUUCUAGACACAGAGGAUCUACUACUUGCUUGUUCUUCCUCUUGCUUUGAACACAGCCAAAGACACCUUUUAUUACUGUAUUAUUAUUAACCUCUCUUGCAAGCCUGAGCUCAUUCUGAAUUUUUGCCUGCCUGACCUUCUCCCUGCAACUGCUGGCUACUUGUGUAUACUUCUCCUUUGUGAUUUCCCCUUUCUUCCAUUUAUUAUAUACACCCUUCUUAAAUUUCAGCUCAUUUGUAAGCUCCUUAUGCAACCAAACUGGUUUCUUUAGAGGCCUCUUACUUUUCUUUCUUUCACAAGCAUUUAGCAAUACAAAUGUUAAAAAUAACAGUUAAUAAGAAAAUAAACAGUUAAGCAAGCAUAUUAAUAACAAUAAAACAAGAUAUUGGAUGUUCAUUUGCAUGCUACCUCUUACAACCAGUUAUUGUUAGGGGUGUCAGGUAAGGAGUAUCCGAAACACUGAGAUUUCAUGUUCCAAAGAUCUAGGGGCGGCUACUGGUGAUGUCACAGAGGCAGGCCCUAGUGAUGUCACUGGAGACAGAGGUUAAUUGGGAGAGGGGAAAGAAGAAGUGCAGGGGGGACCCCCUCCCCACCAAUUAUCUAUGUUAUAAUUUGCAGCUAUAGCUAUAGCUCUUUUCCCCAAAUUAACUGCAAGGGCUGGUUUGCAUGUAAAGCCUGUCUCUGGCUUGCUCCUUUAGUGCUUCAUUAAAUACUGUACAGAAGCCGGAGAGGACCAAAACAUUGCCUUUUGAGCUGUGUUUACCAGCAUACUGCUCAUUCACAUUUCAAGCCCAGUUUAAAAUAAACCAUGGUUUAAUGUGACACCAUUAUUGGCUUCUGAUUUUAGUCUGGAGUUUAGCCAAAGUGUGAGUCUGCUUCCUGUCUAAUGCAGAACUCAUUUCCCAGCAGAUUUUAAUGCAUCUAAAUUGUUUCCCAUAAAGUGCGCUGUGCUCAACCCUGCAUGGGCACACACACAUAGUUUAAAUAUACACCAGUUCUGUGUGAGAGAAAGUGGCAACCCCACCAAGGUCACCCACCUGUGUAGGGACUUCAUUUUGCUUUUCAAAGUACUUUCCUUGGAAGAUUUAUAGCGAAACACUGUAAGCAAGGGGUGGCAACCUUUUAAUCUCUCAGAGCCCACAUUACCUUGUGGGGUGAUAUAUCAGCUGCAUACUGGCGUUCUGUGGUGCUGAAGACAGUAUUGGGCGGGCGAGAUCCAGGAGGGGGGGCACCUCUCUUCUCUCACUCUUCCUGACACCUGUCUCUUUCUGACAACCCUUUCUCUUCCUCUCUCAGUCCCUCCUUGCCCAACACUCUGCUGGGAAAAGGAAAGAUUGUUUUUGCAAAAGUCUGACACAAUUCCUUUCAAAGAGCUUUUGGCAUGAGAGCCACCCCCGCUGUAAUCACUAUACUACACCACAGUCUUCCACUAUUUUUUGUUUACCCCCUCUUCUCACUGCCUUCAGCACAGCAGACUUUAUCUAGGACACAACUUUAAUCUCCUCAAAUCCCUCACAGUUAACUAGUUUUAUAGCACUCUCAUCUUCUAGCUUUUCUGAUUUUACCACCUUUCUCCAGUGCCAGACUAGUCUAGUUUGCAGGGUUGGCUCAAUACAUUUCACCCCUGUAGGCAAAAUUCCCCCACCCAUGCCCCUGCCCCAAUGAUACCCACAGAUUUGGGCCCCUGUCCUUGUUGGCAUACACCCAAGGAAACCAGGGCAAUUGGCAGGCCCCCAGCUGGCUCCAGCCCACCGGCCGGUGUGCCGGGCAAACUCCGGUCCUUGGUGCAACAUGAAUCUGCGGCUCAGGCUUCAGAAGACUAAGCACACAAUUCAGCAGAAUAAACACUGCACAAACAGAAGUGGCAUGAGAGGCUGUGUGUGCAUAUUUACAAGCAGGUUUAUUCAGGGUAGAUCAGGACAAAAGGAAAACAUGUCUGAUCUCCUUCGUGUCCAAAGCAAAACAGAAAGCUAUACAGUGGUACCUCGGGUUAAGUACUUAAUUUGUUCCGGAUGUCCGUUCUGUUAUGUACUGAAGUUCUCACCCUGGGCCAGCAGGGGGAUACUGUAGAUAGUUUUCACUCAGGUCAGCAUAUGCAAAUAAGGGAUUGAAAGUGACAUUCAGUGAUUGGAUAGUUACAGAAAGUGGUUACUGUUGCAUUCUAGCGGAGCUCUAUAUAAGCAGGCUGGCUGAACCCUUCAGUUCAGUUCUGUUCUGUUCUGUUCUGACCUGUGAAUAAACAAGAGCUGUUUGAAGAAUUGCUGUGUCGUCUGAUAUGUUCACCCACAACUUAACACGUUCUUAACCUGAAACUGUUCUUAACCUGAAGCACCACUUUAGCUAAUGGGGCCUCCUGCUGCCGCUGUGCCGCCGGAGCCCGAUUUCUGUUCUUAUCCUGAAGCAAAGUUCUUAACCUGAAGCACUAUUUCUGGGUUAGUGGAGUGUGUAACCUGAAGUGUAUGUACCCUGAAGCGUAUGUAAUCUGAGGUACCACUGUACACAAACAGAAGUUCCCAACAUACUGAGCUGAAGUGUAAACAGACUUGUGACACACAACAAUCAUGCCUGUUCCUUAAGGUGGAACAGAACAUCUCAACAGUCCUGUCCCACCCUCUCCCUGCUUCUGCCGUUGUGCUCACACUGCUGCCAACUCUGCCACCACAACUCACCUGAAGCUGCACCUGUGCUGCCGCCAUGAUCCAGCUGCUGCUGCAAGGGUACAGCAAUGAGGGCACAGCAGCAGGGGUGAGGGCAAUGGCACUUUGUUGGUGGCACACGCAAAGCCCCAGCAGGGCUGUCAUCUGCACAACAGUGGCGGCAGGGAGGGGGUCAGAUCUGCCACCCAAGGCAAAUAGCUUCACCUCGCCUCAUGCACAGUAAAGAGGAUAAUACCACGUACCACCCGGAGCUUCCUAGAGUGAGAAUAUGAUAUGAAACAUACUAAAAUAAUCAUGUAAAAGGGCGCCCAAGCGUAGUUCAUUUAUUAAAAUUUAUUUGCCAAUAUGUUUGUAUUGUCAUCAAUGCUGCUUUAUGAAUUGGUCUUAUGUACACGGAAGCUUUUCAAUGUAUUGUCUCUGCUUUUUAAAUUGCUUCACAGUGGCUCUCCUGCUGCCCUUGCCCACUUGUCCAAGACUCUCUCUCCCAAGAAUACAAAACUUGCAGCUCUCUAGAUGUUGCUGGACUCCUACUCCCAUCACCUCCAGCCAGCAUGGACAAUUAUCAGGAGUAAUGGGAAUUGUAGUCCAACAAAUUAUGCAGGACAACAAGUUCCCCAUCUCUGAUCUAUCCAGUACACUGACUGACUGUUGUCUGCAAACAAGGAAGU